CCUCUACACUCUCUCCUCCUGACUCCUCUACACUCUCUCCCCCUGACUCCUCUACACUCUCUCCUCCUGACUCCUCUACACUCUAUCCUCCUGACUCCUCUACACUCUCUCCUCCUGCCUUCUCAAGCCUCCACACAUUCAAACGUAUAUCUUGGAGGGGCCGUCGCUGCGUAUCCAGUUCUCCUGAUAGAGCCAUGUGACGGUUCUCCCCUCAGGUUCCCAGUGAGCGGUCUGACUGACGGAGAGUGGCACCGCCUGGCGGUGAGUGUGUCUCUGGAGCGGCUCGCGGUGUACGUGGACUGUGUGCUGUUUGAGUCCCUGGACUGGGUCUACUACGGCAUGGCCGUCUCCACCGCCGGCCUGCUGAUGGUCGGGGGGACCGUCAGGGGACACGAGACCCCUUUUGAAGGUGGCAUCCGACAGCUGAGCUUCAUGGCGGGCGACCCCAUCGCCGCCCGGCUCCACUGCAGCCUCCACCCUCCCAGGUGUGGGGGUGGAGGAGGAGGGCGCCGUGCCUCCAAGACCCCCCGCUCCCCAGGCACUAACAGCCCCCUUGAGGAGUUCCUCCUGUCCUCGAAUGACCUAGAGAACUUGGAGGGGGGUGCCAUGGACAAGUCUAGCCUGCUCCUCCGCUCCUCCUCGAACGCGUUCCUGCUUCGGAGCAGCUCCAGAGGCGACGGCACCGUGCCUUCAGGGACCCGUCGAGAAGGUUCGGUGGGCCAGGGGGUCGUCCUGGUGGUGGACGAGGACACCGACCUGUUCCACCCCGUCUUCCAGGGGGUAGGGGGUCAGCUCAACCCCCAGUGGAAGCCCCCCAGGACGGGCGCAAAGGGCCACCACGAGGGCAAGGCCGGAGCUCCCUUCAAAGGCCUGGAGGAGAACACCACAACCGGGAAGAGGGUGGAGACCGACUCGGGGGCCAGAGGGGAAUCCCUUCUUCCUGGAACCCCCAAGGGGGACAUUAUCCUGGACCUAGACACAAGGACCGGCCCCAAGAAGCCCUCUGGUACAUUCCCUGAUGGCAAGAUCCCCUCUGGAGAUCACACAAGGAACCCUGGAGCAGACGACGUGCAGGAGGGUGGCUCCUCCACUGGCUCUGCCGGGACCCCCUCAGGCAAGAGGGUCCCCGGGGAGAGGAGCGUCAGCUUGGACAACGCCAUCGAUGAAAAGCACCAGGGCUUCGUUGGCGGCGUAUCCGGAGACAGGGACGUGGCCCUGGGCUCAGACGGCCGCUGGUACAGGCUACAGAGAGGGGCCCUUGGACGCAUGGGACCUCCAGGGACAGAAGUGAGUGGCGCCGUCCCCAUCCUUUGGGCUUUUGCUCUUUUAUUGUUGUGCCAAUUCUAUGACUUCGACAUAAUUCAGAGCGAUCCCUAUCUUCUCGCAGAUGGUUUAAUGUAUUCAAGCAAACACAUGAUACAAGUCUUAUUUAGAAGGAGACUAGACUAUUUAUGCUGAAGAGUUGAAGAGUCUGCGACACACAUCUGCAGUUUAUAGAGCAUAGUUUAGGAUCUUAUGCCUUCACUCAGUCUAGUCGUAAAGCCUUUUUCCUUGGUACCAACUCAAUGUUAACCGAUGUCAAUGCCUAUUAGGUGAGGGUUCAGAAACCAGUGUGCCAGCUUUCGUGAAAAAGCAAAUGUGGCCCAUGUGGUGUUCCCACAAACAUCACUACAGCUGUCCCUCCACAACCACAACCUGAGUGUGAUCAAGGCGAGGCUUGUGCCGCUCUGACAUAUGUUGCUGCAGGGGUCUUUGAAGUUCUCUGUAAGUGUCAGCGCCGUCUGUCAUACCAUCACUCACCACCACGGCUGAAGUACUUAAGGGGCCCUUCAAGCGGUCCUAUAGGUGCAGUUGUACCACACCUUCCAGCACACACGGGACGCCACGGGGUCAACCGGGUCAGCGGGGUGAAGGUCACCUCGGGGUCGGCGUGGAUCAGACUCACAACUCAACCCAGACAUCUGGGCGCGCUUCCCCGGCGUCUUGCUGGCAUAUAAAAGCAUCAGAAUCCCUGGGCGUUAUUAGCAUGAUGAAACCCAUCCGUGGAGAACAAGACGAGGGGAUGUCACGCCAAACCAGGGAUGAAGGCCUGGGAGGCCAUUAUUGGUUUCUUCUUCCUUUCCAUUUGUGUUCCAAAAGUUGGGUCCAGGUUUUUAAGAUGUCUGCCAGCCCCUGAGGCGUUGCAGGCUUGGGUUGGAUCUGGUUGAUAUAGGGCAGGUUAGGUUCUCCUUAUAGCUUUGAAGGGCAUUGAUUUUCUCAAUGCCCCCUGAAGGCUAUUCAGGGUUGGCAUUUCAUGAUUUUAGUUGUCAGAGUGGAGUUGAGUCAGCUAAAAAUCCCACUGCACUAGUUAUGUCAAUGUGCCCCAGUCCCCAUCAGUAGACUCUGCUAGAUGACAGGCCGUGGAGAUCAACACUCUGUCAGGAACCCUCCAGAGGUUUCUCUCUACUAACCGGCUGGUAUUUAUGAGGCCAGGAGACUGAACAGAAGCAGUGUCUUUGCGGUUCUGUCGAAC
ensembl:lncRNA